rnacentral:sRNA from 1 species
GCUGGGCAUGAUGGCUCAUGCCUGUAAUCCUAGCACUUUGGGAGGCUGAGGUGAGUGGAUCACCUGAGGUCAGGAGUUCGAGAUCAGCCUGGCCAACAUGGUCUCUACUAAAAAUACAAAAAUUAGCUGGGCUUGGUGGCAGACGCCAGUAAUCCCAGCUACUAAGGAGGCUGAGGCAGGAGAAUUGCUUGAACCCAGGAGGUGGAAGUUGCAGUGAGCCGAGAUCAUGACACAGCACUCCAGCCUGGGCAAUAGAGUGAGACUCUGUCUCA